rnacentral:rRNA from 1 species
AACUGAGACACGGUCCAGACUCUACGGGAGGCAGCAGUAGGGAAUAUUGCUCAAUGGGGGAAACCCUGAAGCAGCAACGCCGCGUGGAGGAUGAAGGUUUUAGGAUUGUAAACUCCUUUUGUUAGAGAAGAUAAUGACGGUAUCUAACGAAGAAGCACCGGCUAACUCCGUGCCAGCAGCUGUGGUAAUACGGAGGGUGCAAGCGUUACUCGGAAUCACUGGGCGUAAAGAGCGCGUAGGCGGGAUAGUCAGUCAGGUGUGAAAUCCUAUGGCUUAACCAUAGAACUGCAUUUGAAACUACUAUUCUAGAGUGU